UACGUAGGGUGCGAGCGUUAAUCGGAAUUACUGGGCGUAAAGAGCUCGUAGGCGGUUUGUCGCGUCUGCUGUGAAAACCCGAGGCUCAACCUCGGGCCUGCAGUGGGUACGGGCAGACUAGAGUGCGGUAGGGGAGAUUGGAAUUCCCGGUGUAGCAGUGAAAUGCGUAGAUAUCGGGAGGAAUACCGAUGGCGAAGGCAGGUCUCUGGGCUGACACUGACGCUCAUGCACGAAAGCGUGGGGAGCAAACAGG
rnacentral:rRNA from 1 species